GCGAGCUAGCCGGGAGUUACACCGCCACCGCCAGGGGCAACUUCAGGAGUAAGGAGCAUGUACGGUUCCUAGUUGAGCUUCUAAUUGGCAGAGGCAGAGA
rnacentral:sRNA from 2 species